AGAGUUUGAUCAUGGCUCAGGAUGAACGCCGGCGGUGUGCCUAAUACAUGCAAGUCGUACGCACUGGCCCAACUGAUUGAUGGUACUUGCACCUGAUUGACGAUGGAUCACCCGUGAGUGGCGGACGGGUGAGUAACACGUAGGUAACCUGCCCCGGAGCGGGGGAUAACAUUUGGAAACAGAUGCUAAUACCGCAUAACAACAAAAGCCACAUGGCUUUUGUUUGAAAGAUGGCUUUGGCUAUCACUCUGGGAUGGACCUGCGGUGCAUUAGCUAGUUGGUAAGGUAACGGCUGUCCAAGGCGAUGAUGCAUAGCCGAGUUGAGAGACUGAUCGGCCACAAUGGAACUGAGACACGGUCCAAACUCCUACGGGAGGCAGCAGUAGGGAAUCUUCGGCAAUGGACGAAAGUCUGACCGAGCAACGCCGCGUGAGUGAAGAAGGCUUUCGGGUCGUAAAACUCUGUUGUUGGAGAAGAAUGGUCGGCAGAGUAACUGUUGUCGGCGUGACGGUAUCCAACCAGAAAGCCACGGCUAACUACGUGCCAGCAGCCGCGGUAAUACGUAGGUGGCAAGCGUUAUCCGGAUUUAUUGGGCGUAAAGCGAGCGCAGGCGGUUUUUUAAGUCUGAUGUGAAAGCCCUCGGCUUAACCGAGGAAGUGCAUCGGAAACUGGGAAACUUGAGUGCAGAAGAGGACAGUGGAACUCCAUGUGUAGCGGUGAAAUGCGUAGAUAUUAGGAAGAACACCAGUGGCGAAGGCGACUUUCUGGACGAAAACUGACGCUGAGGCUCGAAAGCAUGGGUAGCGAACAGGAUUAGAUACCCUGGUAGUCCAUGCCGUAAACGAUGAAUGCUAGGUGUUGGAGGGUUUCCGCCCUUCAGUGCCGCAGCUAACGCAUUAAGCAUUCCGCCUGGGGAGUACGACCGCAAGGUUGAAACUCAAAGGAAUUGACGGGGGCCCGCACAAGCGGCGGAGCAUGCGGAUUAAUUCGAUGCAACGCGAAGAACCUUACCUGGGCUUGACAUGUUCCCGACGAUCCCAGAGAUGGGGUUUCCCUUCGGGGCGGGUUCACAGGUGGUGCAUGGUCGUCGUCAGCUCGUGCUGGGAGAUGUUGGGUUAAGUCCCGCAGCGAGCGCAACCCUCGCCGCGUGUUGCCAGCGGGUCAUGCCGGGAACUCACGUGGGACCGCCGGGGUUAACUCGGAGGAAGGUGGGGAUGACGUCAGAUCAUCAUGCCCCUUACGUCCAGGGCUUCACGCAUGCUACAAUGGCCGGUACAACGGGGUGCGACACGGUGACGUGGGGCGGAUCCCUGAAAACCGGUCUCAGUUCGGAUCGCAGUCUGCAACUCGACUGCGUGAAGGUGGAGUCGCUAGUAAUCGCGGAUCAGCAACGCCGCGGUGAAUGCGUUCCCGGGCCUUGUACACACCGCCCGUCAAGUCAUGAAAGUGGGCAGCACCCGAAGACGGUGGCCUAACCCUUGUGGGGGGAGCCGUCUAAGGUGAGGCUCGUGAUUGGGACUAAGUCGUAACAAGGUAACCGUA
rnacentral:rRNA from 1 species